rnacentral:rRNA from 1 species
UACGAAGGGGGCUAGCGUUGCUCGGAAUCACUGGGCGUAAAGGGUGCGUAGGCGGGUCUUUAAGUCAGGGGUGAAAUCCUGGAGCUCAACUCCAGAACUGCCUUUGAUACUGAGGAUCUUGAGUCCGGGAGAGGUGAGUGGAACUGCGAGUGUAGAGGUGAAAAUUCGUAGAUAUUCGGAAGAACACCAGUGGCGAAGGCGGCUCACUGGCCCGGUACUGACGCUCAGGUGCGAAAGCGUGGGGAGCAAACAGG